UACGAAGGGGGCUAGCGUUGCUCGGAAUCACUGGGCGUAAAGCGCACGUAGGCGGAUUGUUAAGUCGGGGGUGAAAUCCUGGAGCUCAACUCCAGAACUGCCUUCGAUACUGGCAAUCUCGAGUCCGGAAGAGGUAAGUGGAACUCCUAGUGUAGAGGUGGAAUUCGUAGAUAUUAGGAAGAACACCAGUGGCGAAGGCGGCUCACUGGUCCGGUACUGACGCUGAGGUGCGAAAGCGUGGGGAGCAAACAGG
rnacentral:rRNA from 1 species